GAUCCUCUUUUUUUUUUUUUUUUUUUUGGUUAAAACUUUAUGACUCUAUAACUUCUAUACCGUGAGGCCAAACUUGGCAUGUGAUACCUUUUCGGAAAGCCCAAAGAGAGCCCUCCGACGAAAGAAGCAAGACAAUGGAACUUUUCCAUUGACUUUUUGUCGACUCCAAAUUUUGACCUUUAAGUACUUUUUCGGGCAUUUUUCGUGAUUUGUGCUAUAUUACGGACCCAAAAUUACUUUUUCAAGCAUUGUUUUCGAAUAUUUUUCAUGCAUCAAAGCUCGUUAAGACUAGAUGGGGUAUCCCUACAUGGCGGGUGGGACCCACGGCGAACGGUUCAUCAAGACUUAAAAAAAGAAUAUAUACGAUUGCAUUGCAUAUACUAACGGAUGCGAUCAUACCAGC
rnacentral:rRNA from 1 species